rnacentral:lncRNA from 1 species
GAAAAACAAAGUGGCGAUCCCAUAAAGAUAUUGCGGUCAGAUCAUGGAGGAGAAUAUACUUCUGAUGCAUUUAAAAGCUUUUGUAAUUUGAAUGGCAUCAGACAACAGUUUACAUCAGUUUAUACUCCCCAAUUGAAUGGCGUAGUUGAAUGAAAGAACCACACAAUUCUCGAUAUGGCGAGAAGUAUGUUGAAAGAUAAGAAAUUACCUAAAGGAUUAAGAAUGUUCGAGGAGUAAUGCUUGAAGAGGCUUGGAGCACAUAUAAGCCUAGUACAAAUCACCUUUUGAGUGUUUGGAUGUAUAGCUUAUGUAAAGAUCCCAGAAGCAAGAAGAACUAAACCUGAUGACAAAGGGCAGAAAUGUAUCUUUAUUGGCUAUGGUGAUAGGAUAAUGGGAUACAAGUUAUACAAUCCCAUUACAAAAGAUAUUAUCAUGAGUCGAGACGUAAUCUUUGAAGAGGAUAAAGCUUGGAUUGGGAGAAUGCUAAAGACAUUGAGCACGUUCGUUUAAUUAUUGAACAAGAAGAAUUUUAACCACCAAAUAGUGGAGCAAGCAACACACAAACAGCUGUAUCUAGCUCACCCACAACAUCAGAAGAUUCAUCAUCUUCAUCAGAAUCAUCCUCUGAAGAAGGGCCAAGAAAGAUGAGAAGCUUGAGAUAUAUUUACGAUGGUACUGAACAACAAGGUGAAUAAUAUGAAUUGUUUUGUUUAUCAGCUGAUAUUGAACCACUUUCUUUUGAAGAAGCUUCAACAAAUAAACGAUGGUAGAAAGCAAUGGAUGAAGAAAUUAGUUCUAUUGAGAAGAACAACACAUGGAAGGUCACUGAGUUACUUGAAGAAAGAAAGGCCAUUGGAGUAAAAUGGGUGUACAAAAUUAAAAAGAAUAUACAAGGCGAAAUUCAAAGGUAUAAACCAAGGAUGGUUGCACAAGGUUACUCUCAAAAAGUAGGAAUUGACUAUGGAGAAAUAUUUGCACUUGUUGCACGCAUGGAGACAAUUCGAUUGUUGAUUUCACUGGCUGCCCAACACAAAUAAAAAAUUUAUCAGCUUGAUGUCAAGACAACAUUUCUAAAUGGAUAUCUUGAAGAAGACAUAUAUAUGAAGCAACCACCUGGAUACAUUCGAGAAGGUCAACUGAAUAAAGUUUAUAAAUUGAAAAAAGCUCUUUAUGGACUCAAGCAAGCCCUCCGAGCAUGGAAUGCCCGUAUUGACAAUUACUUUAAAAAGAAUGAGUUUAUGCAAUGUCAGUAUGAACAUGCAAUAUAUGUAAAAUGAGAACAAGAUGGAGGUAUACUAUUUAUCUGUUUAUAUGUGGAUGAUUUGGAUUUUACAGGCAACAAUCCAUCCAUGUUUGAAGCUUUCAAAGAAAAUAUGAUGAAAGAAUUUGAGAUGACUGAUAUUGGAUUGAUGGCGCACUUUCUUGGGAUUGAAGUUAAGCAACAAGAAGAUGGUAUUUUUAUCUUUCAAAGUGCCUAUGCAGUAGAUAUUUUAAAGAAAUUUGGAAUGGAGAAGUGUAAUCCAGUUACUACUCCAGUUGAAACUGGACUGGAACUUCGAAAAAAUGAAGAUGGUGAUGUUGAUCCUACAUAUCUCAAAAGCUUGGUUGGAAGUCUUAGAUAUCUGACAUGCACUAGACCGGAUAUACUUUAUGGCAUAGGAUUGAUUAGUAGAUACAUGGAGACACCAAAUCAAUUCCAUCUUAAUGCAGCAAAAAGAAUACUCUACUAUCUUAAAGGUGCAAUAAAUGAAGGCUUACUUUAUACAUCUACUAAUGAUUUUAAGCUCACUGGUUACUUAGUUAGUGAUUGGGGAAGAGAUAUAGAUGAAAGGAAAAAUACAACUGGAUUCGUAUUUUUUAUUGGAGAAACUGCAUUCACGUGGUCAUUGAAAAAGCAACCAAUUGUUACUUUAUCUAGCUGUGAAGCUGAGUAUGUUGCUACAAGUUCAACUGUAUGUCAUGCUAUUUGGUUGAACAAUAUGCUGACAUAUUUGAGAUUUCCUCAAGAAAAUUCAACUGAGAUUUAUAUUAAUAACCGAUAAGCAUUGCACUUGCAAAGAAUCCAGUUCAUCAUGAAAGAAGCAAACAUAUAGAAACGCAUUUUCAUUUUAUCCGGGAACACAUAAAGAUGAAAGAAGUAGAGCUACUACCAUGCAGAACAAAUGAUCAAGCAGCAGAUAUUUUUACCAAGCUACUUAAGUAUGAUGUGUUUGUCAGAUGGAAAUUUAUGCUUGGGAUGGUCAAGUCUAAUUGAUAUGAUCCAGGAGUCGAGCCCGAUGAAGGCAAGUGCGAGACGAGACCCAUUGAUAGUCGAUGGCGGACCAGUGACGCGAUCAAGGGCAAAGCAAGUGAAACAAAUGAUGGGAUUGCUCGUUCAAGAAACCAUUGAUGGAACCAUGUCCGGGACUCAAAAUGGAGCAACUUUCAUGUUCGGGUCGAAGGCCGAAUCGACUUGGAUUAAUUUGUUAUCAAGCGACGAAAGCGGAGGCAGAAAACAACACCAUGCGGCCGCACAGCCAAAACUCCAUGCGGCCGCACACAUGCAUACCGAAAAUAAAAAUUGUCUUUCUUGAUGAACCAUGCGACUGCGUAGAUUUACACCAUGCGGCCGCACAAGCCAAAAAAAUUGGCGAAUUUUCUAUUUUUGGCCGAAUUUUCUAGUUUCAAUAGAAUUCUUAUGAAAUCAAAUUAUUAGCAUAAUUUGAUGGUUUUGGACGUUUUUAUUCAUUAGUAUAAAUAGGAG